rnacentral:tRNA from 1 species
GCCUGGGUGGCUCAGUUGGUUGAGCAUCUGACUUCAGCUCAGGUCAUGAUCUCAUGGUCUGUGAGUUCGAGCCCCGUGUCGGGCU